GGUACAGUGGUGGACGUAGCGUCUGUGGAAUUCAGUGACGGUGUUUCACAUUGGUGAAGGUACAGUGGUGGGUAUGGUGUCUAUGGAAUUCAGUGAAGGUGUUUCAUAUUGGUGUAGGUAGACUGGUGGAUGUGGUGUCUUGAAUUCAGUGAAGGUGUUUCAUAUUGGUGAAGGUGGAGUGGUGGAUAUGGUGUCUAUGGAUUUCAGAGAAGAUGUUUCAUAUUGAUGAAGGGUGCGUGGUGGAUGUGGUAUUGAUGGAAUUCAGUGAAGGUGUUUCAUUUUGGUGAAGGUAGAGUGGUGGAUGUGCUAUUGAUGGAAUUCAGUGAAGGUGAAUCACAUUGAUGAAGGUACAGUGGUGGACGUGGUGUGUAUGGAAUUCAGUGAAGGAGUUUCGCAUUGGUGAAGGUAGAGUGGUGGAUGUGGUGUCAAUGGAAUUCAGUGAAGGUGUUUCACAUUGCUGAAGGCAGAGUAGUGGACGUGGUGUCUGUGGAAUUCAGUGAAGGUGUUUCAUAUUGGUGAAGUUAGAGUGGUGGAAGUGGUGUCUUUGGAUUACAGUGAAGGUGUUUCAUAUUGGUGAAGGUAGAGUGGUGGAUGCGGUGACUAUGGAAUUCAGUGAAGGUGUUUCAUAUUGGUGAAGGUAGAGUGGUGGACGUGGUGUCAAUGGAAUUCAAUGAAGGUGUUUCAUUAAUGUGAAGGUAGAGUGGUGGACGUGGUGUCAAUGGAAUUCAGUGAAUGUGUUUCAUUAUGGUGAAGGUAGAGUGGCGGAAGUGGUGUCUAUGGAAUUAAGUGAAGGAUUUUCACAUUGGUGAAGAUAGAGUGCUGGACGUGGUGUCUGUGGAAUUCAGUGAAGGUGUUUCAUAUUGGUGAAGGUAGAGUGGUGGAUGUGGUGUCUUUGGUGUUCAUUGAAGGUGUUUUACAUUGAUGAAGGUACAGUGGUGGACGUGGUGUGUAUGGAAUUCAGUGAAAGUGUUUCAAUUGAUGAAUGUAGUGUCGUGGAUUUGGUCUGUAUGGAAUUCAGUGAAGGUGUUUCACAUUGCUGAAGGCAGAGUAGUGGAUGUGGUGUCUGGAAUUCAGUGAAGGUGUUUCAUAUUGGUGAAGUUAGAGUGGUGGAAGUGGUGUCUUUGGAUUACAGUGAAGGUGUUUCAUAUUGGUGAAGGUAGAGUGGUGGAUGCGGUGACUAUGGAAUUCAGUGAAGGUGUUUCUUAUUGGUGAAGGUAGAGUGGUGGACGUGGUGUCAAUGGAAUUCAAUGAAGGUGUUUCAUUAUGGUGAAGGUAGAGUGGUGGACGUGGUGUCAAUGGAAUUCAGUGAAUGUGUUUCAUUAUGGUGAAGGUAGAGUGGCGGAAGUGGUGUCUAUGGAAUUAAGUGAAGGAUUUUCACAUUGGUGAAGAUAGAGUGGUGGACGUGGUGUCUGUGGAAUUCAGUGAAGGUGUUUCUUAUUGGUGAAGGUAGAGUGGUGGAUGUGGUGUCUUUGGUGUUCAUUGAAGGUGUUUUACAUUGAUGAAGGUACAGUGGUGGACGUGGUGUGUAUGGAAUUCAGUGAAAGUGUUUCAAUUGAUGAAUGUAGUGUCGUGGAUUUGGUGUGUAUGGAAUUCAGUGAAGGUGUUUCAUAUUGGUGAAGGGAGAGUGGUGGCUGUGGUGUCUAUGGAAUUCAGUGAAGGUGUUUCACAUUGAAGGUAGAGUGGUGGAUGUGGUUUCUAUGGAAUACAGUGAAGGUGUUUCAUAUUGGUGAAGGUAGAGUGGUGGAUGUGGUGUCUAUGGAAUUCAGUAAAGGUGUUUCACAUUGGUGAAGGUACAGUGGUGGACGUAGCGUCUGGAAUUCAGUGACGGUGUUUCACAUUGGUGAAGGUACAGUGGUGGGUAUAGUGUCUAUGGAAUUCAGUGAAGGUGUUUCAUAUUGGUGUAGGUAGACUGGUGGAUGUGGUGUCUUGAAUUCAGUGAAGGUGUUUCAUAUUGGUGAAGGUGGAGUGGUGGAUAUGGUGUCUAUGGAUUUCAGAGAAGAUGUUUCAUAUUGAUGAAGGGUGCGUGGUGGAUGUGGUAUUGAUGGAAUUCAGUGAAGGUGUUUCAUUUUGGUGAAGGUAGAGUGGUGGAUGUGCUAUUGAUGGAAUUCAGUGAAGGUGAAUCACAUUGAUGAAGGUACAGUGGUGGACGUGGUGUGUAUGGAAUUCAGUGAAGGAGUUUCGCAUUGGUGAAGGUAGAGUGGUGGAUGUGGUGUCAAUGGAAUUCAGUGAAGGUGUUUCACAUUGCUGAAGGCAGAGUAGUGGACGUGGUGUCUGUGGAAUUCAGUGAAGGUGUUUCAUAUUGGUGAAGUUAGAGUGGUGGAAGUGGUGUCUUUGGAUUACAGUGAAGGUGUUUCAUAUUGGUGAAGGUAGAGUGGUGGAUGCGGUGACUAUGGAAUUCAGUGAAGGUGUUUCAUAUUGGUGAAGGUAGAGUGGUGGACGUGGUGUCAAUGGAAUUCAAUGAAGGUGUUUCAUUAAUGUGAAGGUAGAGUGGUGGACGUGGUGUCAAUGGAAUUCAGUGAAUGUGUUUCAUUAUGGUGAAGGUAGAGUGGCGGAAGUGGUGUCUAUGGAAUUAAGUGAAGGAUUUUCACAUUGGUGAAGAUAGAGUGGUGGACGUGGUGUCUGUGGAAUUCAGUGAAGGUGUUUCAUAUUGGUGAAGGUAGAGUGGUGGAUGUGGUGUCUUUGGUGUUCAUUGAAGGUGUUUUACAUUGAUGAAGGUACAGUGGUGGACGUGGUGUGUAUGGAAUUCAGUGAAAGUGUUUCAAUUGAUGAAUGUAGUGUCGUGGAUUUGGUCUGUAUGGAAUUCAGUGAAGGUGUUUCACAUUGCUGAAGGCAGAGUAGUGGAUGUGGUGUCUGGAAUUCAGUGAAGGUGUUUCAUAUUGGUGAAGUUAGAGUGGUGGAAUUGGUGUCUUUGGAUUACAGUGAAGGUGUUUCAUAUUGGUGAAGGUAGAGUGGUGGACGUGGUGUCAAUGGAAUUCAGUGAAUGUGUUUCAUUAUGGUGAAGGUAGAGUGGCGGAAGUGGUGUCUAUGGAAUUAAGUGAAGGAUUUUCACAUUGGUGAAGAUAGAGUGGUGGACGUGGUGUCUGUGGAAUUCAGUGAAGGUGUUUCUUAUUGGUGAAGGUAGAGUGGUGGAUGUGGUGUCUUUGGUGUUCAUUGAAGGUGUUUUACAUUGAUGAAGGUACAGUGGUGGACGUGGUGUGUAUGGAAUUCAGUGAAAGUGUUUCAAUUGAUGAAUGUAGUGUCGUGGAUUUGGUGUGUAUGGAAUUCAGUGAAGGUGUUUCAUAUUGGUGAAGGGAGAGUGGUGGAUGUGGUGUCUAUGGAAUUCAGUGAAGGUGUUUCACUUUGAAGGUAGAGUGGUGGAUGUGGUUUCUAUGGAAUACAGUGAAGGUGUUUCAUAUUGGUGAAGGUAGAGUGGUGGAUGUGGUGUCUAUGGAAUUCAGUAAAGGUGUUUCACAUUGGUGAAGGUACAGUGGUGGACGUAGCGUCUGGAAUUCAGUGACGGUGUUUCACAUUGGUGAAGGUACAGUGGUGGGUAUGGUGUCUAUGGAAUUCAGUGAAGGUGUUUCAUAUUGGUGUAGGUAGACUAGUGGAUGUGGUGUCUAUGGAAUUCAGUGAAGGUGUUUCAUAUUGGUGAAGGUAGAGUGGUGGAUUUGGUGUCUGGAAUUCAGAGAAGAUGUUUCAUAUUGAUGAAGGGUGCGUGGUGGAUGUGGUAUUGAUGGAAUUCAGUGAAGGUGUUUCAUAUUGAUGAAUGUAGAGCGGGUGACGUGGUGUCUAUGGAAUUCAGUGAAGGUGUUUCAUAUUGGUGAAGGUAGACUGUUGGAUGUGGUGUCUAUGAAAUUCAGUGAAUGUGCUUCAUAUUGGGGAAGGUAGAGUAGUGGUUGUCGUGUCUGGAAUUCAGAGAAGGUGAUUCAUAUUGAGGAAGGUAGCGUGGUGGAUGUAGUAUUGAUGGAAUUCAGUGAAGCUGUUUCAAAUUGAUGAAGGUAGCGUGGUGGAUGUGUUAUUGAUGGUAUUCAGUGAAGGUGUUUCGUAUUGGUGAAGGCAGAGUGGUGGACAUGGUUUGUAUGGAAUUCAGUGAAUUUGUUUCAUACUGGUGAAGGUAGAGUGGUGGACGUGGUGUCUGUCGAUUACAGUGAAGGUGUUUCAUAUUGGUGAAGGUAGAGUGGUGGACGCGAUGUCUAUGGAAUUCAGCGAAGUUGUUUCACAUUGGUGAAGGUACAGUGGUGGAUGUGGUGUCUGUGGAAUUCAGUGACGGUGUUUCACAUUGUUGAAGGUACAGUGGUGGAUAUGGUGUCUAUUGAAUUCAGUGAAGGACUUUCACAUUGAUGAAGGUAGAGUGGUGGAAGUGGUUUGUAUGGAAUUCAGUUAACUUGUUUCAUAUUGGUGAAGGUAGAGUGGUGGAGGUGGUGUCUAUUGAUUUCAGUGAACGUGUUUCAUAUUGGUGAAGGUAGAGUGGUGGAAGUGGUGUCUUUGGAUUACAGUGAAGGUGUUUCUCAUUGGUGAAGGUCGAGUGGUGGAAGUGGUGUCUAUGGAAUUCCGUGAAGAUGUUUAACUUUGGUGAAGGUAGAGUGGCGGACGUGGUGUCAAUGGAAUUCAGUGAAGGUGUUUCAUAUUGGUGAAGGUAGAGUGGCGGACGUGGUGUCUAUGGAGUUAUGUGAAGGAGUUUCACAUUGGUGAAGGUAGAGUGGUGGACGUGGUGUCUAAGGAAUUCAGUGAAGGUGAUUCACAUUGAUGAAGGUACAGUGGUGGACGUGGUGUGUAUGGAAUUCAGUGAAUGUGUUUCACAUUGGUGAAUGUAGAGUGGUGGAUGUGGUGUCUAUGAAAUUCAGUAAAAGCGUUUCACAUUGAUGAAUGUAGAGUGGUGGAUGUGGUGUCCAUGGAAUUCAGUGAAGGUGUUUCACAUUGGUGAAGGUACAGUGGUGGACGUAGCGUCUGUGGAAUUCAGUGACGGUGUUUCACAUUGGUGAAGGUACAGUGGUGGGUAUGGUGUCUAUGGAAUUCAGUGAAGGUGUUUCAUAUUGGUGUAGGUAGACUGGUGGAUGUGGUGUCUUGAAUUCAGUGAAGGUGUUUCAUAUUGGUGAAGGUGGAGUGGUGGAUAUGGUGUCUAUGGAUUUCAGAGAAGAUGUUUCAUAUUGAUGAAGGGUGCGUGGUGGAUGUGGUAUUGAUGGAAUUCAGUGAAGGUGUUUCAUUUUGGUGAAGGUAGAGUGGUGGAUGUGCUAUUGAUGGAAUUCAGUGAAGGUGAAUCACAUUGAUGAAGGUACAGUGGUGGACGUGGUGUGUAUGGAAUUCAGUGAAGGAGUUUCGCAUUGGUGAAGGUAGAGUGGUGGAUGUGGUGUCAAUGGAAUUCAGUGAAGGUGUUUCACAUUGCUGAAGGCAGAGUAGUGGAUGUGGUGUCUGUGGAAUUCAGUGAAGGUGUUUCAUAUUGGUGAAGUUAGAGUGGUGGAAGUGGUGUCUUUGGAUUACAGUGAAGGUGUUUCAUAUUGGUGAAGGUAGAGUGGUGGAUGCGGUGACUAUGGAAUUCAGUGAAGGUGUUUCAUAUUGGUGAAGGUAGAGUGGUGGACGUGGUGUCAAUGGAAUUCAAUGAAGGUGUUUCAUUAAUGUGAAGGUAGAGUGGUGGACGUGGUGUCAAUGGAAUUCAGUGAAUGUGUUUCAUUAUGGUGAAGGUAGAGUGGCGGAAGUGGUGUCUAUGGAAUUAAGUGAAGGAUUUUCACAUUGGUGAAGAUAGAGUGGUGGACGUGGUGUCUGUGGAAUUCAGUGAAGGUGUUUCAUAUUGGUGAAGGUAGAGUGGUGGAUGUGGUGUCUUUGGUGUUCAUUGAAGGUGUUUUAUAUUGAUGAAGGUACAGUGGUGGACGUGGUGUGUACGGAAUUCAGUGAAAGUGUUUCAAUUGAUGAAUGUAGUGUCGUGGAUUUGGUGUGUAUGGAAUUCAGUGAAGGUGUUUCAAAUUGGAGAAGGGAGAGUGGUGGAUGUGGUGUCUAUGGAAUUCAGUGAAGGUGUUUCACUUUGAAGGUAGAGUGGUGGAUGUGGUUUCUAUGGAAUACAGUGAAGGUGUUUCAUAUUGGUGAAGGUAGAGUGGUGGAUGUGGUGUCCAUGGAAUUCAGUGAAGGUGUUUCACAUUGGUGAAGGUACAGUGGUGGACGUAGCGUCUGUGGAAUUCAGUGACAGUGUUUCACAUUGGUGAAGGUACAGUGGUGGGUAUGGUGUCUAUGGAAUUCAGUGAAGGUGUUUCAUAUUGGUGUAGGUAGACUGGUGGAUGUGGUGUCUUGAAUUCAGUGAAGGUGUUUCAUAUUGGUGAAGGUGGAGUGGUGGAUAUGGUGUCUAUGGAUUUCAGAGAAGAUGUUUCAUAUUGAUGAAGGGUGCGUGGUGGAUGUGCUAUUGAUGGAAUUCAGUGAAGGUGAAUCACUUUGAUGAAGGUACAGUGGUGGACGUGGUGUGUAUGGAAUUCAGUGAAGGAGUUUCGCAUUGGUGAAGGUAGAGUGGUGGAUGUGGUGUCAAUGGAAUUCAGUGAAGGUGUUUCACAUUGCUGAAGGCAGAGUAGUGGAAGUGGUGUCUUUGGAUUACAGUGAAGGUGUUUCAUAUUGGUGAAGGUAGAGUGGUGGAUGCGGUGACUAUGGAAUUCAGUGAAGGUGUUUCAUAUUGGUGAAGGUAGAGUGGUGGACGUGGUGUCAAUGGAAUUCAAUGAAGGUGUUUCAUUAAUGUGAAGGUAGAGUGGUGGACGUGGUGUCAAUGGAAUUCAGUGAAUGUGUUUCAUUAUGGUGAAGGUAGAGUGGCGGAAAUGGUGUCUAUGGAAUUAAGUGAAGGAUUUUCACAUUGGUGAAGAUAGAGUGCUGGACGUGGUGUCUGUGGAAUUCAGUGAAGGUUUUUCAUAUUGGUGAAGGUAGAGUGGUGGAUGUGGUGUCUUUGGUGUUCAUUGAAGGUGUUUUACAUUGAUGAAGGUACAGUGGUGGACGUGGUGUGUACGGAAUUCAGUGAAAGUGUUUCAAUUGAUGAAUGUAGUGUCGUGGAUUUGGUGUGUAUGGAAUUCAGUGAAGGUGUUUCAUAUUGGUGAAGGGAAAGUGGUGGAUGUGGUGUCAAUGGAAUUCAGUGAAGGUGUUUCACAUUGCUGAAGGCAGAGUAGUGGAUGUGGUGUCUGUGGAAUUCAGUGAAGGUGUUUCAUAUUGGUGAAGUUAGAGUGGUGGAAGUGGUGUCUUUGGAUUACAGUGAAGGUGUUUCAUAUUGGUGAAGGUAGAGUGGUGGAUGCGGUGACUAUGGAAUUCAGUGAAGGUGUUUCUUAUUGGUGAAGGUAGAGUGGUGGACGUGGUGUCAAUGGAAUUCAAUGAAGGUGUUUCAUUAUGGUGAAGGUAGAGUGGUGGACGUGGUGUCAAUGGAAUUCAGUGAAUGUGUUUCAUUAUGGUGAAGGUAGAGUGGCGGAAGUGGUGUCUAUGGAAUUAAGUGAAGGAUUUUCACAUUGGUGAAGAUAGAGUGGUGGACGUGGUGUCUGUGGAAUUCAGUGAAGGUGUUUCAUAUUGGUGAAGGUAGAGUGGUGGAUGUGGUGUCUUUGGUGUUCAUUGAAGGUGUUUUACAUUGAUGAAGGUACAGUGGUGGACGUGGUGUGUAUGGAAUUCAGUGAAAGUGUUUCAAUUGAUGAAUGUUGUGUCGUGGAUUUGGUGUGUAUGGAAUUCAGUGAAGGUGUUUCAUAUUGGUGAAGGGAGAGUGGUGGAUGUGGUGUCUAUGGAAUUCAGUGAAGGUGUUUCACUUUGAAGGUAGAGUGGUGGAUGUGGUGUCUAUGGAAUUCAGUAAAGGUGUUUCACAUUGGUGAAGGUACAGUGGUGGACGUAGCGUCUGUGGAAUUCAGUGACGGUGUUUCACAUUGGUGAAGGUACAGUGGUGGGUAUGGUGUCUAUGGAAUUCAGUGAAGGUGUUUCAUAUUGGUGUAGGUAGACUAGUGGAUGUGGUGUCUAUGGAAUUCAGUGAAGGUGUUUCAUAUUGGUGAAGGUAGAGUGGUGGAUUUGGUGUCUGGAAUUCAGAGAAGAUGUUUCAUAUUGAUGAAGGGUGCGUGGUGGAUGUGGUAUUGAUGGAAUUCAGUGAAGGUGUUUCAUAUUGAUGAAUGUAGAGCGGGUGACGUGGUGUCUAUGGAAUUCAGUGAAGGUGUUUCAUAUUGGUGAAGGUAGACUGUUGGAUGUGGUGUCUAUGAAAUUCAGUGAAUGUGCUUCAUAUUGGGGAAGGUAGAGUAGUGGUUGUCGUGUCUGGAAUUCAGAGAAGAUGAUUCAUAUUGAGGAAGGUAGCGUGGUGGAUGUAGUAUUGAUGGAAUUCAGUGAAGCUGUUUCAAAUUGAUGAAGGUAGCGUGGUGGAUGUGUUAUUGAUGGAAUUCAGUGAAGGUGUUUCAUAUUGGUGAAGGUAGAGUGGUGGAUUUGGUGUCUGGAAUUCAGAGAAGAUGUUUCAUAUUGAUGAAGGGUGCGUGGUGGAUGUGGUAUUGAUGGAAUUCAGUGAAGGUGUUUCACUUUGGUGAAGGUAGAGAGGGGGAUGUGGUAUUGAUGGAAUUCAGUGAAGGUGUUUCAUAUUGAUGAAGGUAGAGCGGGGGACGUGGUGUCUAUGGAAUUCAGUCAAGGUGUUUCAUAUUGGUGAAGGUAGACUGUUGGAUGUGGUGUCAAUGGCAUUCAGUGAAUGUGUUUCAUAUUGGGGAAGGUAGAGUAGUGGUUGUCGUGUCUAUGGAAUUCAGAGAAGGUGAUUCAUAUUGAGGAAGGUAGCGUGGUGGAUGUGGUAUUGAUGGAAUUCAGUGAAGGUGUUUCAUAUUGUUGAAGGUUGAGUGGUGGACCUGGUUUGUAUGGAAUUCAAUGAAUUUGUUUCAUAUUGGUGAAGGUAGAGUGGUGGAUGUGGUGUCUGUGGAAUUCAGUGAAGGUGUUUCAUUUUGGUGAAGGUAGAGUGGUGGACGUGGUUUCUAUGGAAUUCCGUAAAGGUGUUUCACAUUGGUGAAGCUAGAGUGGUGGACGUGGUCUCAAUGGAAUUAAGUGAAGGAGAUUCACAUUGGUGAAGGUAGAGUGGUGGACGUGGUGUCUGUGGAAUUCAGUGAAGGUAUUUCACAUUGGUGAAGGUAGAGUGGUUGAUGUGGUGUCAAGGGAAUUCAGUGAAUGUGUUUCACAUUGGUGAAGGUAGAGUGGUGGAUGUGGUGUCAAUGGAAUUCAGGGAAAAUGUUUCAUAUUGAUGAAGGGUGCGUGGUGGAUGUGGUAUUGAUGGAAUUCAGUGAAGGUGUUUCAUAUUGGUGAAGGUACAGUGGUUGAUGUGGUGUCUAUGGAAUUCAGUGAAGGUGUUUCAUAUUGGUGAAGGGAGAGUGGUGGAUGUGGUGUCUAUGGAAUUCAGUGAAGGUGUUUCACUUUGAAGGUAGAGUGGUGGAUGUGGUUUCUAUGGAAUACAGUGAAGGUGUUUCAUAUUGGUGAAGGUAGAGUGGUGGAUGUGGUGUCUAUGGAAUUCAGUAAAGGUGUUUCACAUUGGUGAAGGUACAGUGGUGGACGUAGCGUCUGUGGAAUUCAGUGACGGUGUUUCACAUUGGUGAAGGUACAGUGGUGGGUAUGGUGUCUAUGGAAUUCAGUGAAGGUGUUUCAUAUUGGUGUAGGUAGACUGGUGGAUGUGGUGUCUAUGGAAUUCAGUGAAGGUGUUUCAUAUUGGUGAAGGUAGAGUAGUGGUUGUCGUGUCUAUGGAAUUCAGAGAAGGUGAUUCAUAUUGAGGAAGGUAGCGUGGUGGAUGUGGUAUUGAUGGAAUUCAGUGAAGGUGUUUCAUAUUGUUGAAGGUUGAGUGGUGGACCUGGUUUGUAUGGAAUUCAAUGAAUUUGUUUCAUAUUGGUGAAGGUAGAGUGGUGGAUGUGGUGUCUGUGGAAUUCAGUGAAGGUGUUUCAUUUUGGUGAAGGUAGAGUGGUGGACGUGGUUUCUAUGGAAUUCCGUAAAGGUGUUUCACAUUGGUGAAGCUAGAGUGGUGGACGUGGUCUCAAUGGAAUUAAGUGAAGGAGAUACACAUUGGUGAAGGUAGAGUGGUGGACGUGGUGUCUGUGGAAUUCAGUGAAGGUAUUUCACAUUGGUGAAGGUAGAGUGGUUGAUGUGGUGUCAAGGGAAUUCAGUGAAUGUGUUUCACAUUGGUGAAGGUAGCGUGGUGGAUGUGGUGUCAAUGGAAUUCAGGGAAGAUGUUUCAUAUUGAUGAAGGGUGCGUGGUGGAUGUGGUAUUGAUGGAAUUCAGUGAAGGUGUUUCAUAUUGGUGAAGGUACAGUGGUGGAUGUGGUGUCUAUGGAAUUCAAUAAAGGAGUUUCACAUUCAUGAAUGUAGAGUGGUGGAUGUGGUGUCUAUGGAAUUCAGUGAAGUUGUUUCACAUUGGUGAAGGUAGAGUGGUGGACGUGGUGUCAAUGGAAUUCAGUGAAGGUGUUUCACAUUGGUGAAGGUACAGUGGUGGGUAAUGUGUCGAUGGAAUUCAGUGAAGGUUUUUCAUAUUGGUGUAGGUAGACUGGUGGAUGUGGUGUCUUGAAUUCAGUGAAGGUGUUUCAUUUUGGUGAAGGUAGAGUGGUGGAUGUGCUAUUGAUGGAAUUCAGUGAAGGUGAAUCACAUUGAUGAAGGUACAGUGGUGGAUGUGGUGUGUAUGGAAUUCAGUGAAGGAGUUUCGCAUUGGUGAAGGUAGAGUGGUGGAUGUGGUGAAAAUGGAAUGCAGUGAAGGUGUUUCACAUUGCUGAAGGCAGAGUAGUGGAUGUGGUGUCUGUGGAAUUCAGUGAAGGUGUUUCACAUUGGUGAAGGUACAGUGGUGGGUAUGGUGUCGAUGGAAUUCAGUGAAGGUUUUUCAUAUUGGUGUAGGUAGACUGGUGGAUGUGCUGUCUUGAAUUCAGUGAAGGUGUUUCAUAUUGGUGAAGGUGGAGUGGUCGACGUGGUGUCUAUGGAAUUCAGUGAAGUUGUUUCACAUUGGUGAAUGUAGAGUGGUGGAUGUGGUGUCUAUGGAAUUCACUAAAAGCGUUUCACAUUGAUGAAUGUAGAGUGGUGGAUGUGGUGUCCAUGGAAUUCAGUGAAGGUGUUUCACAUUGGUGAAGGUACAGUGGUGGACGUAGCGUCUGUGGAAUUCAGUGACGGUGUUUCACAUUGGUGAAGGUACAGUGGUGGGUAUGGUGUCUAUGGAAUUCAGUGAAGGUGUUUCAUAUUGGUGUAGGUAGACUGGUGGAUGUGGUGUCUUGAAUUCAGUGAAGGUGUUUCAUAUUGGUGAAGGUGGAGUGGUGGAUAUGGUGUCUAUGGAUUUCAGAGAAGAUGUUUCAUAUUGAUGAAGGGUGCGUGGUGGAUGUGGUAUUGAUGGAAUUCAGUGAAGGUGUUUCAUUUUGGUGAAGGUAGAGUGGUGGAUGUGCUAUUGAUGGAAUUCAGUGAAGGUGAAUCACAUUGAUGAAGGUACAGUGGUGGACGUGGUGUGUAUGGAAUUCAGUGAAGGAGUUUCGCAUUGGUGAAGGUAGAGUGGUGGAUGUGGUGUCAAUGGAAUUCAGUGAAGGUGUUUCACAUUGCUGAAGGCAGAGUAGUGGAUGUGGUGUCUGUGGAAUUCAGUGUAGGUGUUUCAUAUUGGUGAAGUUAGAGUGGUGGAAGUGGUGUCUUUGGAUUACAGUGAAGGUGUUUCAUAUUGGUGAAGGUAGAGUGGUGGAUGCGGUGACUAUGGAAUUCAGUGAAGGUGUUUCAUAUUGGUGAAGGUAGAGUGGUGGACGUGGUGUCAAUGGAAUUCAAUGAAGGUGUUUCAUUAAUGUGAAGGUAGAGUGGUGGACGUGGUGUCAAUGGAAUUCAGUGAAUGUGUUUCAUUAUGGUGAAGGUAGAGUGGCGGAAGUGGUGUCUAUGGAAUUAAGUGAAGGAUUUUCACAUUGGUGAAGAUAGAGUGGUGGACGUGGUGUCUGUGGAAUUCAGUGAAGGUGUUUCAUAUUGGUGAAGGUAGAGUGGUGGAUGUGGUGUCUUUGGUGUUCAUUGAAGGUGUUUUACAUUGAUGAAGGUACAGUGGUGGACGUGGUGUGUAUGGAAUUCAGUGAAAGUGUUUCAAUUGAUGAAUGCAGUGUCGUGGAUUUGGUGUGUAUGGAAUUCAGUGAAGGUGUUUCAUAUUGGUGAAGGGAGAGUGGUGGAUGUGGUGUCUAUGGAAUUCAGUGAAGGUGUUUCACUUUGAAGGUAGAGUGGUGGAUGUGGUUUCUAUGGAAUACAGUGAAGGUGUUUCAUAUUGGUGAAGGUAGAGUGGUGGAUGUGGUGUCUAUGGAAUUCAGUAAAGGUGUUUCACAUUGGUGAAGGUACAGUGGUGGACGUAGCGUCUGUGGAAUUCAGUGACGGUGUUUCACAUUGGUGAAGGUACAGUGGUGGGUAUGGUGUCUAUGGAAUUCAGUGAAGGUGUUUCAUAUUGGUGUAGGUAGACUGGUGGAUGUGGUGUCUAUGGAAUUCA